CAGUAGCCGCGGUAAUACGUAGGGUGCGAGCGUUAAUCGGAAUUACUGGGCGUAAAGCGUGCGCAGGCGGUUCGUUAAGACAGAUGUGAAAUCCCCGGGCUUAACCUGGGAACUGCAUUUGUGACUGGCGAGCUAGAGUAUGGCAGAGGGGGGUAGAAUUCCACGUGUAGCAGUGAAAUGCGUAGAGAUGUGGAGGAAUACCGAUGGCGAAGGCAGCCCCCUGGGCCAAUACUGACGCUCAUGCACGAAAGCGUGGGGAGCAAACGGGAUUAGAUACCCGCGUAGUCCCUGUCUCUUAUAC
rnacentral:rRNA from 1 species